CUUAUCGGCGCGACAACACAAAUCGGGCGCCCGCAACGAAUCCAGCCCAAGAUUCGAUUUGGCCCAGAUUAAAACUAGGUCUGAACUUGUUCAUUGAAUGUCCUCAAUUC